ACUUGUCUAGCUUAGUUGGUAGAGCUCAAGGCUUUUAACUUUGUGGUUGUGAGUUCAAGUCCCAUGGUGGGCG
rnacentral:tRNA from 1 species